rnacentral:misc_RNA from 1 species
AAUUUCAAAUAGGAUUGGUUGUCUCGUGAAUGUCCGCAUCUUCGAAUUCUGGCAGUAGAUUACUACUCUCAUUUUACCGUCUGGAAGGACGAGUGUCGCUUUGAAACCGAAAAUCGCUCUCUAUUAAGUAGAAGUAAUGAGAUUUUGAAGAAGUUAGUAGCCGCGGGUGUCGGUAACAAACCCAUAAUAUGGGUCACUCAUUCCAUGGGAGGAUUGUUAGUAAAACAAAUGCUUCUCGAAGCAGCCAAAAACAGAGAUCCCAGCAUUAGAAACGUGUUAGAGAAUUCAGUUGGCGUAGUGUUUUGUAGCGUACCUCACCGAGGAAGUUCUUUGGCCACUGUGGAUUCCGGCUGGAAACUAAUAUUACUUCCGACUAAAGAAGUGAAAGAAUUGAAAAAAGAUUCCUCGUAUCUUUUGGACAUGCACGAGAAGUUUAAACAGUUGGCCAAGAAGCACGACAUCUCUUGUCUUAGUUUCGGAGAAACCCAAAAAACCAACCUGGGCUUGAAAUUAAGCACGUUGAUGGUGUCUCUGGAUUCCUCAGAUCCGUCGAUCGGCGAAUUUUACGCACUUCCGGAGAAUCAUCUGAACACCUGUAAGCCGGAAACGAAGUCCUCCGUCAUGUAUCAGCUGCUGGUGGAUUUCAUCCAUCAGCACGUGCCGCACACUCUGAUGGAAAAUUUGCUUCAGGACCACAACGUCAGUGCCGAAGAUUUAGAAACCACCGUGGUCAUGGGAUUAGUGCAAUAGAUUUUUGUAUACAAUUUAAUUAAAGACAAUAUUUUUAAAUACGUAUAUGUAAUAAUGUCUUUGGUUUAUCAUAAUAUAUUCUUUAUGCAGAUGCCUUAGUCCAUUGUAAAACGUCCAUCGAAUUUACGGUGGAAAGUAUGUGCGGAAUUGCGGAUACGACCGGGCCCAAUUACUUUUUCGAUUCUCUCGAACGCUCAAAGUCGUAGUUUAUUUUGUUUUUAUAAAGAAAUUUCUUCAGGUAAUUAUAUUAUAUUUUCAAAUUAAAGUUAAAAAAGUUAUUUUGAUUUUUAUGGUUUUAGGCAAGUUAGAGAGAGACAUUUUCUUCGGAAUGUAUAUUUACAAUUAUGCAUUUUUGAUUACGCGAUCCGAACUCCGGUUCCUCUGUAUUUGGAUCGUCGUCCCGCUUCAUCGAAGUCCAUACGUAAGCAUGAAUACUUAAAAACACACACAAGAACAUUCCAUCUUUAAGGGAAAUUCUAUUGUUAGAACUGUGUGGACCCCAAGAAAACGGGUCUAAUCUGAGAUAAUUUCGAGAAAAGUAUUAUGAAAACCAAAGAUAUUACCGAACGGUCGGGGUACCCAAAAUUUGCGUAUUAAAUUUCCUAUAAAUCGGAUGCAGGGUAUGAUUUUAGGAUUGUUGUUGCCAACGAAAACUUUUGACUAGUAAAUAAAUUUUUUUCAUUUA